GGAAUUUCGAUGGUGAUUACUUCACAUACAAACUUGGAUUGGCAAAACGAUCUUUGACUCUUCCUUCGGAUACGGGGCGAUGGAUGAACCCCUGCAAACGCGACCCAGCCGUUUCUCCACAAUAGCAAAGGUGCUUCGAUACACACACACACCCACAAGAUAUCGCUCCUGCUCAUGACACCCCUCGGGCAGGGCCAACCGUGAUUUCCCGGAUCGCCUGGAGAUGUCUCGCGAAGACCCUCUACUACUCCCUACCUUCCCUCUACUUCUGACGGGACCUCGAGGGGGAGCCCACUCCCUUGUCAUGGAAGGACAACUGGCACUAGUUGCCUGGACGGCUUCAGGGGCUCCUGGUCAGAUCACGACCUAUUGCAUCA